rnacentral:misc_RNA from 1 species
AGAACACCUUCAUCUCUAUCAUCAUGGCUAUGCAUAGGGCCAAGACGUCGUUCUGUGGGUCCAUCAGCACACUCUAAAGUGGAUGAUUUGCCAGAAGCUUUUGUAGUAUCUGAAAGUUCUGAUACUAUUGUGGCUGAAGUGCAAACUAAAGAGACAGCGCAGAGCAAACUAGAAUGUAAUUCAAGCAGUGAAACAGGGCAUGAUGAUACUGAGGAAGACGAGCCUCUUAUUUCUGAUGAUAGAGUCAUGAAUUCUUCUGCCAUUGAAGAUGUUACUUGAAGAUGUUACUGAAGGUGAACUGUGGUAUGAACUGGAGAAGGAGCUUCAGAGGCAAGAGAAUGAAGUUGAUAUUGAGGCCCAGGCAGAAGAAGCUGCUGCAGCGA